UUAGCUGACGUAGUUCAUCAGACGACCAAUAAGGCGUGUUUUAGAUAUAAGGAAUGGAUUGUCCGUUUUUGAUCAGAUGCUGUUUAAUCCCGGUGUAUUCACAUCACAACAAAUUAGCCUGUGAGGAUAUUGUUUGCACAUGAUUCAUCUGCCUGUGCACCACUUGAUACUGGCCCAGUUUCCUAUAGAUCUGGUGCCGGUAACAGCAGCAGAGGAAGUGAAAGAAGCCGUUCAGUCUGUGUUGACCGCCUCUUUCACAUCAACACGUCUCUUUGUUGUGGAGGAUGGUUGUUGUACAAGACUUCAUUUCUGGUUUAGUUGCUGUUGACCUGGAUCUGAAUGCAGGCAGGAGGCAGGCAGAAUCCCAGAACAACACAGAACUUGGGUCCCUGACAUCAUGGCGGAUUUUUGAGUUGUAAAUACAUGAAGACACAAACUCUGGCUGGCAUUUGAGGAGAUCGUGUCAUCUUGAGAUUCCUUCAGGAAUACACUGCCUUCUAAGAUGUGUCAGCUACCAAUUAUUGUACACAUCCAGAAGUGUCUAACAAGAAUUUUCCAAGAAAACCCUGACAUCUGACAUACGCUAUUUCUGAGGAAUUUGAGACUGCAAAAAGGGCACAUAAUUAUUCAGCACUCAUGGCAGAAUUUUUAGAAUGUUAACAUAAUCUAAAGGCUGACAGUGAGAAUCUCUUGCUUUAAGUUAUGGUCAACACUUUCUGCAAUGCUGACCCGCUAAACACUGACAUCUGAUUUAAGCUAAAGUAUGAGGUGUGAAAAUGCAUCAUCACACUUUGACUAGAUAAAAGCUGUGAAUGUUUCCACUUGAUAAAGAUGCACAUAUUUAUUGUAGCUGAAAAAGAAGUAACCAAGCAUUAUGUUUUUGUUUUUAUUGACCUUGUACAAAGAGUGAUUAAUCGACUCUUAGAAAAACAUAAGAUUUCAGGAUGUUUUCUUUUUCUAGCAACAUUAACACUCGCAUUGAUUACAUGUGUAUUGUUCAGGAACACCUCUGAUCAGACCUGACAUCACCUUCAGCUGCUUUUCUGCAAGUCACAAAAAAUUUCAUUAUUGGAAUUUUAGGUCCAUCAAAACAACAUUUUGUAAAUAUUUGUAUGUACUUCAUACCCACACACAUCAAACAUAUGCUCAAAUGAAACUUUGUCUUGUGGUGUAUUCUGUCUGUGUCUUCAAGAUGCCGUAGCCGAAGUCAGUACAACUGAAUCUCGAGGAAACCUUGGCCCGAUCAUAGAGCCCUGAUCUCUGGACAGAGUCCCUCUUAUGACCAACACAUAUUCUCCAAAUUAAACAUAUUACCACAUGCAUAUGUUCCAGAUUUACGUCACGUUUGAGUCCUGGCCGGAUUGUUUGCUUAUGCACCUGGAAUCCACCGAUUGGAUUAUUUUUCAAACUCAGUGUCUCUUGACCUUUGACCUGACUGUUUUCCUGAAAAUUUCAAAAGGAAUUCCCAUGUGGUCAGACACUUUAGUCUGAAUUGAGUGUCGUUCAAUGAAUGAGAAGUUUUCUCAUAUGAAUAAUUACAUUCCAUAAGGGUAGAAAUUUGAAAAGCUUUAAAAUAAUCAGUCAGCCAUAACCUUAAAUGUUGGUAAAUGUUAGACCUUGAAUGUGAAUGUGGUCUCUAUUCAUUGGAAGGAUUAGGUGUAAUUCAGUGUUCUUUUUGAAUGUAGAUAAUGUUGCUUAGAAAAUUAACAAAAUCCACUCUUCCGACUGACUAUCUGAAGUAGUGGCUUUCAAAUGGUCUGGGUUUGACUUCUUCUUGAGAAGCUGCUAGCUGUAUCGAAGCAGUUGCACAGUAUUUUUGUUUUUGUAACUACUUAUUCAGGGCUGCACAGU